rnacentral:rRNA from 1 species
UGGGUAACCUGCCUCAAAGAGGGGAAUAGCCUCCCGAAAGGGAGAUUAAUACCGCAUAAUAUGUUUAAGUCGCAUGACUUUAACAUCAAAGGAUUUUCUUUUAGAAAUUCCACUUUGAGAUGGACCCGCGGUGCAUUAGCUAGUUGGUGAGGUAACGGCUCACCAAGGCAACGAUGCGUAGCCGACCUGAGAGGGUGAUCGGCCACAUUGGAACUGAGACGCGGUCCAGCUCCGUAGGGAG